rnacentral:rRNA from 1 species
UACGGAGGGAGCUAGCGUUGUUCGGAAUUACUGGGCGUAAAGCGCACGUAGGCGGCGAUUUAAGUCAGGGGUGAAAGCCCGGUGCUCAACACCGGAACUGCCUUUGAGACUGGAUUGCUUGAAUCACGGAGAGGUGGGUGGAAUUCCGAGUGUAGAGGUGAAAUUCGUAGAUAUUCGGAAGAACACCAGUGGCGAAGGCGGCCCACUGGACGUGUAUUGACGCUGAGGUGCGAAAGCGUGGGGAGCAAACAGG